AUUGAACGCUGGCGGAAUGCUUUACACAUGCAAGUCGAACGGCAGCACGGACUUCGGUCUGGUGGCGAGUGACGAACGGGUGAGUAAUGUAUCGGAACGUGCCCAGUCGUGGGGGAUAACGUAGUGAAAAUUACGCUAAUACCGCAUACGAUCUAUGGAUGAAAGCGGGGGAUCGCAAGACCUCGCGCGAUUGGAGCGGCCGAUAUCAGAUUAGGUAGUUGGUGGGGUAAAGGCCCACCAAGCCAACGAUCUGUAGCUGGUCUGAGAGGACGACCAGCCACACUGGAACUGAGACACGGUCCAGACUCCUACGGGAGGCAGCAGUUGGGAAUUUUGAACAAUGGGCGAAAGCCUGAUCCAGCCAUUCCGCGUGCAGGAUGAAGGCCCUCGGGUUGUGAACUGCUUUUGUACAGAACGAAAAGGUUUCUACUAAUACUAGGAGCUCAUGACGGUACUGUAAGAAUAAGCACCGGCUAACUACGUGCCAGCCGCCGCCGUAA
rnacentral:rRNA from 1 species